UGCACCCUUGCUCCAUACUUACCUGGACGGGGUCGACGAGCGAUCAAGAAGGCUCGUGGCCUAGGUUAGUGACCCACAUUGCACUUAGUGGGUGCGCUGGCCUAUCAUCUCCCCAAGUGGGAGAGUGAACGUCAUAAUUUGUGA
rnacentral:snRNA from 1 species